ACGUAGGGGGCAAGCGUUAUCCGGAUUUACUGGGUGUAAAGGGAGCGUAGACGGCAUUGCAAGUCUGGAGUGAAAACCCGGGGCUCAACCCCGGGAUUGCUUUGGAAACUGUGGAGCUAGAGUACCGGAGAGGCAAGUGGAAUUCCUAGUGUAGCGGUGAAAUGCGUAGAUAUUAGGAGGAACACCAGUGGCGAAGGCGGCUUGCUGGACGGUAACUGACGGUGAGGCUCGAAAGCGUGGGGAGCAAACAG
rnacentral:rRNA from 1 species